rnacentral:rRNA from 1 species
GACGAACGCUGGCGGCGUGCUUAACACAUGCAAGUCGAACGGAAAGGCCUUGUUUGCCGGGUGCUCGAGUGGUGCACGGGUGGCUAACACGUGGGUGACCCGUCCUGCACCUGGGGCUAAGCUUGGGAAACUGGGGCUAAUACCGGUUAAAUGCCCUCUUUGGCUGGGUGGUUGGGAAGUUUUUUGGGUGUGGGAUGCUCGUGCGGCCGAUUAGCUUGUUGGUGGGACAAUGGCCUACUGAGGUCGUGACGGGCAGCCGGACUGAGAGGGUGCACGGCCACAUUGGCACUGAGUUACGGCCCAGACUGCUACGGGGGGCAGCAGAGGGGAAGAGGGCACAAGGGGCGGAAGCCUGGUGCAGCGACGCCGCGUGGGGGAGGAAGACCUUCGUGUUGUAAGCGCGGUUCGCUAGGGACUGAGCGUUUUGUGACGGUACUUGGAGAAGAAGCACCGGCUAACUACGUG